GCCAGCAUGGUGUAGCGGUUUGAGUGUUGGACUAAAACUCUGAAGAUCAGGGUUCAAUUCCCAGCGGGAGCU